rnacentral:rRNA from 1 species
AAUAGAUACCCUGGUAGUCCACGCCGUAAACGAUGUCGACUUGGAGGUUGUGCCCUUGAGGCGUGGCUUCCGGAGCUAACGCGUUAAGUCGACCGCCUGGGGAGUACGGCCGCAAGGUUAAAACUCAAAUGAAUUGACGGGGGCCCGCACAAGCGGUGGAGCAUGUGGUUUAAUUCGAUGCAACGCGAAGAACUUUACCUACUCUUGACAUCCAGAGAACUUAGCAGAGAUGCUUUGGUGCCUUCGGGAACUCUGAGACAGGUGCUGCAUGGCUGUCGUCAGCUCGUGUUGUGAAAUGUUGGGUUAAGUCCCGCAACGAGCGCAACCCUUAUCCUUUGUUGCCAGCGAUUCGGUCGGGAACUCAAAGGAGACUGCCAGUGAUAAACUGGAGGAAGGUGGGGAUGACGUCAAGUCAUCAUGGCCUUACGAGUAGGGCUACACACGUGCUACAAUGGCAUAUACAAAGAGAAGCGACCUCGCGAGAGCAAGCGGACCUCAUAAAGUAUGUCGUAGUCCGGAUUGG